UGGAGUAGCAGAAGACACCAGUAACAAAGGCAGUACUAAACACAUUGUCUUUAACAUUGGCCCCUUAAAUUAUUUCUGAAAGUGGCUCAGUUUACACUGCACUUACAACUACAAAACAUGGAUAAGAAAGCCUGGAUUAGAGUUUUAGGAUGUGGAAGUUUGCGGACGUUGCCUAGAUUAGAGAAUAUUAGCUACAAGGAGAGUUGGAUAAACUUGGAUUGUUUCCUCUGGAGCAGAUGCCAAAGGGAGAUCUGACAGAGGUUUAUAAAACUAUGAGGGGCAUAGAAAGGGUAGAUAGUGUCUUUCUCCCAGGGUGGAAAUGUCAAAUACUAGAGGACGUGGCUUUAAACUGAGAGUGGGGUAAGUUUAAAGUGUGGGGAAGCUUUUGUUUUACAUAUAGAGUGUUAGGUGCCUGGAAUGUGCUGCUAGGGGUGAUGGUCGAAGCAGACACAAUAGUGGUGUUUAAGAGGCAGGGAAUGGAGGGAUACAGAUCAUGUGCCAGUAGAUUGGUUUAGUUUAAUUUGGCAUUGUGGUCAGCAGAGACAGUGUGAGCUGAAGGGCCUGUUCCUGCGCUGUUCUGUGUCCAUCACCAGCAUUACAUUAUUUAUUGACAUAGCCAGGCAGAGAGAGGUGGCCUUAUAUACCUGCAAGAGGUCAGUUCCUUUCAUAAGACUGUAAGAAGUUGCAAAAUGCAUUUUUAAAACAUUGGACAAUUUGGAGCUACAGUCAGCAAAUGAUUUGGCAUGGAUUGCACGCAGCAGAUGGGCAACCAACCUUUCCCUCCAGCUCAGCAGAAGCAGGAGCAGCAGCAGACUCCUGGGAAGGAGCCGACAGAGCACUGGAAACUUUAGAAGGCUGCAGCAUGGAAGGAAAAACUGCAAGGUCCAGCUAGGUUUGUGCAGUGAUUCAGAAGGAUAUUAUUCCAAUUGUUCAACUUCAUAUCACUACUGCACUGCUGGAAGAUGCUGAUCUGAGAUUUAUUUGGGUUUGUUCUUCCAAAAAAAAAAAUUCACAACUCACUGCUGAAUGACAGCUGCCAAACCAUCACUGGCUACUUUAGGGCAAGAAACAUCAACAGGUUGUUCACCUUGCCUAGAAUAGCAACAUCAGGAAUCUUGAGUGCUGUGGCCAAGCAAGAAGAAAGGAAGUGACAAACUAAAGAUGCCAGAUACCCUCUACGUGGUCACACUGCUGCGGAAAAAAUAAACUUCAUGACCUCA